GGGUAUCUUGCUGGAGAUCCAUCUGUACGUGAGGCCUUCUGAAGAUGGGCAGACAGAGCUUGCUGUUCCUCUUUAGAGAGUGAGGAAGACUGUUCUUCUACAUGAAACAUAUUAAUUACUGGUUCCCUGGGUGCUGGGAUAUCUCUUUUCUCAUGGAGCUGCCGGAUUUCUGUGUCAGUACUGUGUGUGGGAGAUGAAGUCCAGCAUCAGAGCCAGGCUAAAGAGGAGAUGGAGACCAGGAGGAUCUCUGCAUCGUAAAGGAAACACGCUGUAUGCUUCCAUACAAUACCACACCUCUAGAAGCCACACUGAAUUUAAGGAGAAACCCUUCUCUUUCCUGGGUUGCUUGCACCAAGCUGCGCAAAUCCUGAUGGCCUUAAGCACGCCAACCUGGUCCCAGUGGAGCUACUCACAUCCUGAGUUAUGCAGAGCAGAAAUUAAACUAUACUCCAAAAGGCUUGCUUCAAAACCCAGCAGUAAGGCUAAGGGCCUCAGUAUCACCUGUUAUCUGAGGGAGAAUAGCUGAAGGAAAAUGUUCCCGUCGUGUUCUCAAGACUGAAAAGCAAAGAUGUGCUGGAGCCCAAUAACAACAAUCGAUGCUUCCAGCCCUGGCUUUGGUGAAAUCCACAUGAGGAUGGGUUAUCUGAAGUUCUCCUGCUACCCCACGUCACUGAACGCCUCUGCAGGGAUGAGCCAAUUCAGCAGAAGUCCUAAGUGAAUUCUGGUGAGAAAAGGAAACAGAGGACAGGCUGCAAUCAAGCUGAAGCGUCGGGCAAACAGAAAUCAGCCUGCUUGUGUGAGAGCUGCACCAUCAAGUGGUGGUGAUGGUGAAGGCCUUCAAAAGCCAGCCUCUUUCCUGCUGCACCUCUGAAGGGAGCUCUCGAAUAGUCUACAGGAAGAAAG